GAUGAACGCUGACAGAAUGCUUAACACAUGCAAGUCGAUGGGGAAGUGGUGCUUGCACCAUGGCAACCAUGGCGGACGGGUGAGUAACGCGUAAGGGACUUACCUGCAGGACUGGGAUAACAGGGGGAAACUCCUGACAAGACCGGAUAAUGUCAUGGAGCUGCAUGGCAUUAUGAUGAAAGGAGACGCCUGCGGAGAGCCUUGCGUCCUAUUAGCUAGUUGGUGAGGUAAUGGCUCACCAAGGCGAAGAUAGGUAGCCGGCCUGAGAGGGUGGACGGCCACAAGGGGACUGAGAUACGGCCCUUACUCCUACGGGAGGCAGCAGUGGGGAAUAUUGGACAAUGGGGGCAACCCUGAUCCAGCAAUUCUGUGUGCACGAAGAAGGUUUUCGGAUUGUAAAGUGCUUUCAGCAGGGAAGAAGUAAGUGACGGUACCUGCAGAAGAAGCGACGGCUAAAUACGUG
rnacentral:rRNA from 1 species